ACGGGUGAGUAACGCGUAAUCAACCUGCCCUUCAGAGGGGGACAACAGUUGGAAACGACUGCUAAUACCGCAUACGAUCUAAUCUCGGCAUCGAGGAAAGAUGAAAGGUGGCCUCUAUGUAUAAGCUAUCACUGAAGGAGGGGAUUGCGUCUGAUUAGCUAGUUGGAGGGGUAACGGCCCACCAAGGCGAUGAUCAGUAGCCGGUCUGAGAGGAUGAACGGCCACAUUGGGACUGAGACACGGCCCAGACUCCUACGGGAGGCAGCAGUGGGGAAUCUUCCGCAAUGGACGAAAGUCUGACGGAGCAACGCCGCGUGAGUGAUGACGGCCUUCGGGUUGUAAAGCUCUGUUAAUCGGGACGAAAGGCCUUCUUGCGAACAGUUAGAAGGAUUGACGGUACCGGAAUAGAAAGCCACGGCUAACUACGUGCCAGCAGCCGCGGUAAUACGUAGGUGGCGAGCGUUGUCCGGAAUCAUUGGGCGUAAAGGGAGCGCAGGCGGGCAUGUAAGUCUUUCUUAAAAGUGCGGGGCUCAACCCCGUGAUGGGAAAGAAACUAUGUGUCUUGAGUACAGGAGAGGAAAGUGGAAUUCCCAGUGUAGCGGUGAAAUGCGUAGAUAUUGGGAGGAACACCAGUGGCGAAGGCGGCUUUCUGGACUGCAACUGACGCUGAGGCUCGAAAGCCAGGGGAGCGAACGGGAUUAGAUACCCC
rnacentral:rRNA from 1 species